UGGUGGAGCGAUUUGUCUGGUUAAUUCCGAUAACGAACGAGACUCUAGCCUAUUAAAUAGUUCGCCGAUUUUUCGAGUCGGCGUCAACUUCUUAGAGGGACAAGUGACGUAUAGGCACGCGAGAUUGAGCAACAACA
rnacentral:rRNA from 1 species